rnacentral:rRNA from 1 species
GAUGAACGCUGGCGGCGUGCCUAAUACAUGCAAGUCGAACGCACAGCGAAAGGUGCUUGCACCUUUCAAGUGAGUGGCGAACGGGUGAGUAACACGUGGAUAACCUACCUCAAGGUUGGGGAUAACAUUUGGAAACAGAUGCUAAUACCGAAUAAAACUUCGUAUCGCAUGAUACAAGGUUAAAAGGCGCUACGGCGUCACCUAGAGAUGGAUCCGCGGUGCAUUAGUAGUUGUGGGUAAAGGCUACCAGACAAUGAUGCAUAGCCGAGUUGAGAGACUGAUCGGCCACAUU